rnacentral:rRNA from 1 species
CAAUAGCGUAUAUUAAAGUUGUUGCAGUUAAAAAGCUCGUAGUUGGAUUUCUGGUCGGAAGCUCCUGUCCUCUGAUGAGCGUACAAGUGCGUCCUACCAUCCUUCUGUUAACCUUUAAGGCUUUCGCGGCUUUCUAGGGGCUCAGAUAUUUUACCUUGAGAAAAUUAGAGUGUUUCAGGCAGGCUAGCGCCGGAAUACAUUAGCAUGGAAUAAUGGAAUAGGACUUUUGCCUCUUCUGUUGGUCAUGAGGCUCGAGUAAUGAUUAAUAGGGAUAGUUGGGGGCAUUAGUACUUAACUGUCAGAGGUGAAAUUCUCGGAUUUGUUAAAGACUAACUUAUGCGAAANCANNNGCGAAGGAUGUUUUCAUNAA